UGUUAAAAAUUUCAUCUAUUUGUACUGUUAAAAAUUGAUGUAGUUGAUGGAAUAACCGGACAAGGAUACGCGAUGUGCCACUUGUACUUCAUGUUGACAUACAAGGGCCAUAUUUUAAUUAUAGAAAAAGAUGAAAUUUUUAAUA
rfam:Gossypium arboreum cultivar AKA8401 contig_30998_1, whole genome shotgun sequence.